UCGAGAAUCUUCGUCAAUGGGCGAAAGCCUGAACGAGCGACGCCGCGUGCGGGAUGAAGGCCCUUGGGUUGUAAACCGCUGUCGAGGGGGAUGAAGGCUUGAAGGUACUCCUUCAAGUUUGACAGAGCCCUGGAGGAAGCACGGGCUAAGUUCGUGCCAGCAGCCGCGGUAAUACGAACUGUGCGAACGUUAUUCGGAAUCACUGGGCUUACAGGGUGCGUAGGCGGCCAGACAAGUCAGGUGUGAAAGC
rnacentral:rRNA from 1 species